AAGCUAACUCGAUCACUAGCUCUGCCUUAUAUAGCAGAAGAAGUUGAGGGAACCAGGUUUGCUAAAGUAAUUAUGGGGAUAGGAAUGAUUGGCCUCAGAAGCUACUGACAUGGCCUACUCUAUCCUAGUACAGUU